AUUUUGGGACGGGUAGUACUGAACGUCAUCUAACAAACAUGGGUCGUUCGAUUUCGAUUCCGGAUGAUGCAAACCAUCCGAUCCUUCAACUGAUGAAACCUUCUCGUGAUCCUUCACGAAACUUCUUUUUUCAAGGAAGUCCUUCCACGUCCCUGCUAGGGGAAAAAAAAUCGCAUUUUGUCGUUCACGGUGUUGCUAGCUAGGCUGCGACCCCUCCUCUCCUUGCAGGCGCCACGCCGCCUUUCCAUCCCGGGCGCCACUGCACCGCCGUCUCCACAUCCCUGGAGCCCCGCCACCGUAUCCUCUCCAACCCCAUCCCCUCAUCCUCCUCCACCCCUGCCACAGCCUCCUCCUCCCCAUCCCCACUGUCGUUUCCUCGCCAUCCCCAUCGAUGUCUUCUCUUCCCCAUCUUCAGUGGCACUACCAUGACCUCCUCCUAUCCAUCUCCGACAGAAGCUGCAGAUCUGGUGUCCUUCCAUCUUCUUUGCUCCCUAUUCCUCGCAAUGGGGAAGGUCAACACCUCUGCCUCCUUUCGUGCUGGUGACUCCAAUGCUUCUACCUGUCUCCAUCCCUAAUUCGCCACUAGGAGGCACGGUGAAGCAAAGACAAAAGGGAGACGCGGAGGGGAAUAUGGCGGCAGAUUGGGAGGGGAGAUGGUCAUAUGGAGAUGGAGGCGGAAAGGGCCUCUUCGUCACGUAUAGCAACUUGUGCUUCCACUCCGCUUCCACUUACGGCCUCCGCCUGACCGCCCAUGGGGGCGGGAGUGGAGGAGGCCACGCCUCUCCACGUCGUCCUUAUCUGCGCCGGCGAGAGGAGGGAGCAGAGGGGAGAUAUAGAGAGAGGGGAAGAAGAGGAAGGGAUUGAGAAUGACAGGUGGGGCCCACGUUGACCCCACCAUUUUUUUAUUAUUGUGUGUGAAACUGACAUGUGGGUCCCAUAAGUUUUAUUAUUUUUUGGAUCGAAUUGCCAUGUAAGCGCCACGUCAGAUGAAGACCGAGUCAAAUUAGCCACACGUAGGCGCUACGUCAGCUAAAACCUCCAUCCAGACCGCCAUGGGACCUAUAGUGCACCGGGUUUGACAGUUGAGGGACCCAUUGUAUCUGGUUUUUCGGUGGAAGGAUGAAAAUCGGAUUCGUUGACAAUUUAAGGGACCUCAAAUGAACUUAUUCCUAACUCCUUAUCAUUGCAAUCAAUCAUUGAUUGAUGCUUAUACAAAACAUUUCAGUAAAGGGCCAUGUUGAACUGGUGAUAAUUCCAUAAAUUAUACAAAUUGAAUAGGCUGCCACAUUUCCAAAUUAAAUGGUAAUCUAAUUUAUUUCCUCGGUUAAUUAAUUUCAGGUAUACCGUAGCAACGAUGUUUUAGUGCUGCUGUAAAGAAUAUAACAAUGGACAUAACUGUAGUUGGUGCAACUGGAGGAUAGAAUAAAUUAACAUGAAGUUUCAACUAGAGUUGCAGUUAGUAACAUAGGAGUAUUAUGUUAAUUGCCUCAUUACUUUUGGAGAGGUUCAUACCAAUUUAGUUUGUUUUUAUACUAUUUCUGAAUCAAUGGUUUGUUCUAUUAACA